rnacentral:sRNA from 1 species
CAUCACCAUCAUCGUCCUAAAUAGUCUUUCAGGAGAGUUGGUUGUAGCUGGAAGACACGAUCUUCCAAAUGAUGCCUAAUGCUAAACAGAUUCAAGAGCCCUUGGAAGAUUAAAUAAAAUUCUUCCAAGGGUUUUUU